CCUGAUGCAGCGACGCCGCGUGAGGGAUGACGGCCUUCGGGUUGUAAACCUCUUUCAGUAGGGAAGAAGCGUAAGUGACGGUACCUGCAGAAGAAGCGCCGGCUAACUACGUGCCAGCAGCCGCGGUAAUACGUAGGGCGCAAGCGUUAUCCGGAAUUAUUGGGCGUAAAGAGCUCGUAGGCGGUUUGUCGCGUCUGCUGUGAAAGACCGGGGCUCAACUCCGGUUCUGCAGUGGGUACGGGCAGACUAGAGUGAUGUAGGGGAGACUGGAAUUCCUGGUGUAGCGGUGAAAUGCGCAGAUAUCAGGAGGAACACCGAUGGCGAAGGCAGGUCUCUGGGCAUUAACUGACGCUGAGGAGCGAAAGCAUGGGGAGCGAACAGGAUUAGAUACCCUGGUAGUCCAUGCCGUAAACGUUGGGCACUAGGUGUGGGGGACAUUCCACGUUUUCCGCGCCGUAGCUAACGCAUUAAGUGCCCCGCCUGGGGAGUACGGCCGCAAGGCUA
rnacentral:rRNA from 1 species